GCCUAUUGGUCCAGCUGGUCCCAAUGGUACCAAAGGAGACGCCGGCCUCCCUGGAGACUCAGGGCUGUCUGCCAACAGCGAAUGUCUGAAA